ACUAUCCCUAAAGUUAGUUGUUUUAAAACACCGGUGCUCCUAGUUCUGCUCCACGUGGACCUUGCUGAGGUUGCAAUACCCAAGAUGGCCUCUUCACUCCCUUCUGUGGUGCCCAGGGGUUAGAGCUGGGACAACUGAGGUGUGGUUAGGGAUCUUAUUCCACCUCAUUUCUCCACUAGAAUCAUCAGACUUUUUCCAUCCUGGCUCAGGGUUCCAGGUGGACAAGCACAGAUGUACACAUGUUCCAUGAACCAGAGUGACCAGAACGCGCCGCCAGAGUCAGUGUGGGAGCGGACUACAACGGGAGCGCAAAUACCAGUGUGGCUUCCUGGGGGUACCAGCAUCAACAGUCUCAUGAUCCUAAGGCAGAUACGUGAAGCCAUGCCUCAUCUCACAAAUAAUCAGAUCCUGUGCCCAGGAUCACAUGUCUAGAUGGGAAACAGGAAAAAAAAGGAUCAUUUCAUGCUAAAUCUUUAUACCCCGGCCAUAAGACAAAGGUCAAAGAAAAUAGAGCUAUCUUGUGAUGAAACGAUUUUAAAAGACCUUAAAACAAGAAGGAAAAUCCUCCACUGUUCCCGCCUUCACGAGGACAGCACACCAGCCUGGUGCAGGGAAUUUAGCAAUGUAUAAAUCAAACAAGACCUGCUUUCAAAGAAACAUUCUUCUGAACAAGCAGAUAAUGUCACUCACCAGCUAAAGAACAGGAAAGUCUGAUCAGCUUAGAAAACAUAAUUAUGGCUUUGGCAUGAUGACUAACUGGAGCUAAGAACUACAUGCUUUGAUAGGAGAUCAUUACAACAUGGCUUGUUAACUAAUGGAUUUAGGCAGACUGUGAAUACAUUUAGAAUGGAAAAAAAUCUUUAAGGGAAGUGAUCUAUUUCCAUGUGAAUAGAGAAGCGCACAGGAGAGAACACAUUCGAUUCCAACAGGCCGAAUGAAGACUAGGUGCAAACCACAGAGAAACAGAUUCAUCGCUUAUUUUUCCUCCAGAGAUGUAUAUGGGUGCCCUUCUCUCUCACAAGUAAUCCUGCUAUUACAUUUGCUAGAUUGUGGUCUUGAUACAAAGAUGGGCAAAAAGAAAUAUGGCCUUAUACGACCCAGCAAUCCCACUGCUGGGCAUACACACCGAGGACAUCAGAAUUGA